CUGCUGUCCCCAGUGCUUCCCACCAAUUACUCACGUGGACGUAUGAUCUCCACCUGGUUCUCCUCUUCCUCUUCUGGAUUCCACGCCUGCCAAGCCACCCUCGGCCUCCUGGGGGGUCUCACCUCCGUCUCAUUGGACCGAGAAUCAGAGUUGGCAAAGGGGGGGGACACGGAGAGGCAGAAUCGCCGGCUCCUAUGGGCACGCUGGAGUGACAUGGCGAGAAGUGGGCUGUGCUCAGGGAUGCCUCGAAGGUCCCCGUGCUCCUGCCCUGCCCUGUCGCUGUCCCUCCUGGCAACUCUUCUGGCUUUCCCUUUGGAUAUCACCUAGGCUGUGCUGACCCUUUGUGACGCCAUACACUGGGCGGCAUUAUGAUGCGCGUCUCUACUCUCAGCAGCUUGUAGGGACGCUGACCAAACAAGCACAUCUGGUUAUACCCACGUGUAGCGUAACAAACGUAUCAGACCAAAUACUGCAUCCUUCCGUGCCUCAGGGCAUAGAAUCCUAGAAUCCUUAGAGUUGGAAGGGACCUCUGAAGGCCAUCUAGUGCAAGUCCCCCGCAAUGGACACAGACACCACAGCUAGAUCAGGAUGCCCAGGGCCUGGUCCAGCCUCGCCUUGAAAGUCUCCAGGCAUGGGGCAUCAACCACAUCUCUCGGCAACCUUUACCAGUGCCUCACCAUCCUCACCGUGUGAGGUACAUUUUGGUUUUGCGGUAGAAGUUUCCAGUAUUUUCUGUAUCUAGCGUUCUCCCUUGCUGAAACUGUAACCUUCCUGUGAGACAGCUGUUUCCAGUAUAUACCUCUCUUCUUGUAUGUAGCCCAGGCCCUCACUGAACUUAUGACUCUCUUGUGAAACAGUUAUAUAUGUUAUUGAUUCGUAAAGAAAGCAGAAGAAUAGAGUGAAACUGAGAGGGGGGUGUACCUACUCGGGGAGGAUUGCGACAGCACAGGAUAAGGAACGUACACAGGGUGGGGAGAGCCCAGUAUAGGGCAGCAUGGGGAGAUUCAGGCAUAGGAUGGGGAGAGCCAAGCACAGCACAGGACGGAUGUGCUAACUUUGGCAUAUCGCCCUCAUAUCCAAGCACAAAGCAGAACGGAUGGGCUAUCUUUGAAAUAUGGGAGAUAUUUCAAAGCAUACCUAAGGACAACAUAUAGGUAACAGUCCUUAUGUGGAGCUGUACCGUAGCAACAGUGUCGGCAAGUGAUGUGAGCUUGAGACAUUCAACCAAUGAGCGCCCAGGAGAGGCAUUACCUGCAUCAGGUUUACCGAUCCCAUCUCUGCUUUGCUGGUCCACGUACGCAGUUAAUACUGUGUGACUGCUCAAACCGAUCUUUCAGAAGUAACACAGUCAACAGUGGAUUAUUAAGAUGUCGCAAAGCUCAACUACAUAAGGUGCCGAGCACCUAUAUGGAAAGAGACAGCCCAUAUUCCAAAAAGCUUUAAUCCAAUCCCAAUUUAAUUCAAUCCCAAUGAACGUGUGGGUUUGAAAUGUCAUUGUUCAGCACUGGCCAAUGAGAUAUUCCAGUCUGAGUUUCUGAACCAUGUGGUAAAGCAUCACAACAGCUUUAAGUAUCCAAGGAUCUGUCAGGGCUUUAGUCUACAAGAACUAAGAAUCCCAUCAUGUGCAGCUCCUGCUGAAUGGAAGACACACCUACUCAACGAUUUACCCCCCUCCCUUUUCCCAUCUGAGCUAGUGAGAAUCAGCCUCAAUGGGAAUGCUAAAAACAAACAAACAAACAAACAAACAAAACUUGAGAAGGUAUGUAAGUGAUGUGAGAGCUUGUCAUAAACAAUUUGGAUCGUUCACAUCUGAGUCCACGCAUCAGACGCUGCAGCAGGGAGGGGGGGGAAGGGGAGGGGGGACAGUGUGGAGGAUGAGGGGCACCCUAGGGGUCAGAUCGAGAGAGUGGUGGGAGGGAGAAAGGAGUCAGUGCGGAGGCACUGGGGGGACACACGGAGGGACAGAGGACACUAGCGAUCAGGAUGGGGGGCCUCUAAGGGUCAGACUACGGGGACCGGGGGCGACAGGGCAUUUCAGUGGUCAGAACGGGGAAUGGGGGGUAGGGAGACUCUCCAAGUCAGAACAGGAAGACUCGUG
ensembl:lncRNA